UACGUAGGGUGCGAGCGUUGUCCGGAAUUAUUGGGCGUAAAGAGCUCGUAGGCGGUUUGUUGCGUCUAUCGUGAAAACCUGCGGCUUAACUGUGGGCUUGCGGUGGAUACGGGCAGACUUGAGUUCGGUAGGGGAGACUGGAAUUCCUGGUGUAGCGGUGAAAUGCGCAGAUAUCAGGAGGAACACCGGUGGCGAAGGCGGGUCUCUGGGCAACAACUGACGCUGAGGAGCGAAAGCGUGGGGAGCGAACAGG
rnacentral:rRNA from 1 species